UACGAAGGGUGCAAACUGUGCUGACGAAUUCGUGGCGUAAAGCGCACGUAGGCGGCCUCAUAAGUCGGACGUGAAAUCCCUCGGCUCAACCGGGGAAGUGCAUCCGAAACUGCGAGGCUCGAGUAUGGAAGAGGGUCGCAGAAUUCCCGGUGUAGAGGUGAAAUUCGUAGAUAUCGGGAGGAAUACCAGUGGCGAAGGCGGCGACCUGGGCCAAUACUGACGCUGAGGUGCGAAAGCGUGGGGAGCAAACAGG
rnacentral:rRNA from 1 species